UUCUUCUUAUUGAGGGAAUGAUGUUGAAAAUAGGUAUAGUAGUCUCUUCUCCCAUUGCUAUAAAGAAAUUCCUGAGACUGAUUAGUUUAUUUAAAAAAAAAUAGAGAGGUUUAAUUGGCUCACAUUUCUUCAGUCUGUGCAGGGAGCAUAAUGCUGGCAUCUGCUCAGUUUCUAGGGAGGUCUCAGUCAACUUAACAUCAUGGGAGAAGGCAAAGGGGAUGCAGGCCCAUCUUACAUGGCUGGAGCAAGAAGUGGGGGAAGGUGCUACACACUUUUAAGCAACCAUAUCUUAUGAGAACACUAUGAUGAUAACAUCACCAAAGGGGGAAAUCCACCCUCAUGAUCCAAUCGUCUCCUACCAGGUCUCACUUCCAACAUUAGUGAUCACAAUUCAACAGGAGAUUUGUGCAGGACACAAAUCCAAACUAUAUCAAUGGGGCUCUAAUUUAAUGUAUAUUCUAUAUACUGAAGAAGAGUAUUCAUGAUUUCAGAAUGUACCUCUGAACUGGCUGUGAAUUUGGAAGGCAUUCCAGUGCUCUUAUGAGGGCAGCUUUUUCUGGAUGAUAUGUGUUAGGUUUUGCAGUAGAAGAUGCAGGAAGGAUGCUGCAGGAGGGAGGGAUUCCUCUUCCGUUUGUGCUGUGCUCCUCGUCCUACUGGCUCCUGUGGUGCAGAUGGGCUCUCAUUCUUCUCCCUGCCACCAUGUGAAGAAGGACAUGUUUGCUUCCCCUUCCACCAUGAUAGUCAAAUGAGCAGAGCAAACUUUUUCUGCAUAAAGAGUUACUUCAAUACUGGGUCAUGCACAGCAGC
rnacentral:lncRNA from 1 species